rnacentral:rRNA from 1 species
CGGGGCGUCAUAGAGGGUGAGAAUCCCGUACGUGACCGGCGAUCAAGCCCAUGUGAAACCCCUUCGACGAGUCGAGUUGUUUGGGAAUGCAGCUCAAAACGGGUGGUAAAUUUCAUCUAAAGCUAAAUACCGGCCAGAGACCGAUAGCGCACAAGUAGAGUGAUCGAAAGAUGAAAAGCACUUUGGAAAGAGAGUCAAACAGUACGUGAAAUUGUUGAAAGGGAAGCGCUUGCGACCAGACUUGCUUGCGGGCGAUCAACCGUCCUUCUGGGCGGUGCACUCGCCCGCCGACAGGCUAGCAUCGGUUUCGGCGGCCCGAUAAAGGCCUUGGGAACGUAGCUCCUCUCGGGGAGUGUUAUAGCCCUCGGUGUCAUGCGGCCAGCCGGGACCGAGGACCGCGCUUCGGCUAGGAUGCUGGCGUAAUGGUCGUAAGCGGCCCGUCUUGAAACACGGACCAAGGAGUCUAACAUCUAUGCGAGUGUUUGGGUGUCAAACCCAUACGCGUAAUGAAAGUGAACGGAGGUGGGAACCCGUCCGGGCGCACCAUCGACCGAUCCAGAUGUCUUCGGAUGGAUUUGAGUACGAGCAUAGCUGUUGGGACCCGAAAGAUGGUGAACUAUGCCUGAAUAGGGUGAAGCCAGAGGAAACUCUGGUGGAGGCUCGCAGCGGUUCUGACGUGCAAAUCGAUCGUCAAAUUUGGGUAUA